rnacentral:tRNA from 1 species
ACCGGUUUGGCUCAGUGGAUAGAGCGUCGGCCUGCGGACUGAAAGGUCCCAGGUUCGAUUCUGGUCAAGGGCA